NNNNCUCUGUGUAGUCCUGGAACUCACUCUGUAAUCCAGGCUGGCCUUGAACUCAGAAAUCCACCUGCCUCUGCCUCCCGAGUGCUGGGAUUAAAGGCAUACGCCACCACUGCCCG
ensembl:miRNA